rnacentral:lncRNA from 1 species
GGACUCGCUGAGGCAAUUGAUGAAGGGCGUAUCGGUCCAAGAGAUGAUCCGAAAGCACGUUCUAAGAUCCUGUCAGAGGAGUUUGGUUGGGAUAAGGAUCUCGCGAAGAAGAUUUGGUGCUUUGGUCCUGAGACCACAGGUCCUAACAUGGUUGUUGUCGAUAUGUGUAAGGGAAUUCAGUACCUUAAUGAAAUCAAGGACUCUGUUGUUGCUGGUUUCCAGUGGGCAUCGAACGAAGGAGCGGUGGCGGAGGAAAACAUGCGUGGGAUAUGUUUCGAGGUAUGUGAUGUUGUUCUGCACGCUGAUGCUAUCCAUAGAGGUGGUGGUGGGC